ACGGGAGGCAGCAGUGGGGAAUAUUGCACAAUGGGCGAAAGCCUGAUGCAGCGACGCCGCGUGAGGGAUGACGGCCUUCGGGUUGUAAACCUCUUUCAGUAGGGAACAAGGCCAGUGUUUAGCUGGUUGAGGGUACUUGCAGAAGAAGCGCCGGCUAACUACGUGCCAGCAGCCGCGGUAAUACGUAGGGCGCAAGCGUUAUCCGGAAUUAUUGGGCGUAAAGAGCUCGUAGGCGGUUUGUCGCGUCUGCCGUGAAAGUCCGGGGCUCAACUCCGGAUCUGCGGUGGGUACGGGCAGACUAGAGUGAUGUAGGGGAGACUGGAAUUCCUGGUGUAGCGGUGAAAUGCGCAGAUAUCAGGAGGAACACCGAUGGCGAAGGCAGGUCUCUGGGCAUUAACUGACGCUGAGGAGCGAAAGCAUGGGGAGCGAACAGGAUUAGAUACCCUGGUA
rnacentral:rRNA from 1 species